rnacentral:lncRNA from 1 species
CUGCUGUUAGAACAUUUGUAAAACAAUAGUUGAUUAAUUGUUGUUUCUAAGAGACUCUAAGGAGAGGAGGUUUCUAAGCUUCCUCCUUCUGAGUUCAUCUAAAGGGCAGGCAGGUAGGUCAAGCAGCAAUAUGGAGUCUGUCUUGCUAAGAAGGGUCCUUCAGUGUCAGCAUCAUUUUGGAUGUGGAAGACCCACUUUAAGGAGGAUUAUUGUCAGAAUGGUAUAAAAAGGAGAAUUAGAGGGAAGGAUUUCAGCUGAUUUUCCUUGAAGAAGCUUUGACUGUUCUUUUCAGAGAAUCUCUGGUCUUUGCCUUCACCUUGGGUGUUGUCUCCUGGCAUUUGGCACAGAAUCUUCAUCAGACUCUUUACCUUCCAGUGCCAACCCUUCAACCUCCUGACACAGACUCCUCAGUCUUUCAUUAAAGAUCCUUUGGCUUCAGGAGGACUCAUACAGGACAUUGCCAUGGGCUCCAGGCCUUCGACUGGAUCCUUCGGGUCUCUACUGUGUGGACAGACCUUUUGCACUCUUCCACAUUUGACUCUGUGGGUGACCAUUGUAAGCCAAUCCUGUAAAUUUCUCUGUCCUGCAUUAAAUCUGAUUCAGAGCAUGUAUAACCUUUUGAGGAGCCUUGCCCCAGCCCUGCAAGCCCUUGUAAGCACUGACUCAUACAUCAGUAUUAGUGGUAAUGACCAGCACUUAUUUUCUGGUUAGGUGAUAUUUUGGGGGAAACACAGUAGAUGUCGCCAAACCAAUAACUGAAAACUUUCCAUAAUAUCAGUUUCAAGGAGUGAAUCAUCAGUAACCUGGACCCAAUUGUGCUUCCCUGACUGGGAUCUAUAAUCUAUAAAUUGAUUUUGCCAAAUAUUUCACCAUUCUUUAUCUCUCUUAUGUUCUAAUUUCCCUGCUUAUCUAUCUUCGUUAAGGUUUAUGGUCAUACUAAUUACUCCCUUCCAUAUAUUUUUCAAGUCAUUUUGAUUUUCUUGUAACAUUUGCAUUUUUCAACAAACCAUAACAUUGAUUAGAUUCAGCUCUCAGACUUCUCUGCCCAUUUCCUAAUGGAGCUGAAUGGAGUUAAAGAAAUACCUCUAUCUUUACUGACUUUAAAUUUAUAUCAUAAAGUUCAAAUUUCCCUUCUAUUUUGCAUUAGGAUAUUGUAUUUUCCUACUCUGUAUCAUAUUGCUGAGUAACUGUUUUGUACACUCUCUUUAAAACUCUAACAUAUCUUUUCACCACCUUCAGCUGCUGACCUGAUUCACUGAGAGACAUGAAGAAGAAAUCUUCCAAAAGCUCCUUCACCAUAUCUAUAUACCAGUCCCACCAGUUCCACAAACCCUGCCUUGAAGAGCUUCCUAUUCAUCAUUCACCAGCUAAGGCAGCCUCCACUCAACUGCUUUGAUUUCUUGUGUUUCAGGAAUACUAAUUUUCCCUUUCUAAAGACGUCAUACCAGGCUGACACACAGCAACCACCAUUGCCCAGCCAUGAUCAUCCACCAACUCCAAUCAGGGGAAAUGGAUGCACCUUGAGACCUUAAUAUUAAGUGGAAUAAAUCAGACACACAAGUUUAAAUAUCCUUUUUUCUGAGAAACUCAAAAUAUAAAUAAAGAGCAAAAGGGACAACCCACUUUCUGGUCCUCCUUCUGUCUCUCUUAGACAGAAGCUCUCUUUCUCUCAAUAAAUUUUUCCUGCUCUUAACCUCCUUUGUUCCUGGAAUUCAUUCUUUGAUUUGAGACUAUGCAAACUUGUAUUUUGGUUAUCUAGAAGAUUGGGAGUUAUAAUGUUUCCCUUAUCUAUAUUACUUGCUGCUCUCAAUCAUUUUGGAGGGCCCAGUGAGAUCAUUGGAUGGACAGCCUGUCAAACUCCAAGCAGCCAUACAGAUGGAGCCAACAACAAAUGUGCUAGACUCCUUUUACAGGGCUCCACUAGACUGACCUUGUAAAAAGCUCAUAACUGCUAAACUACAAUAUGACCUCUAUCUGAGGCCCAUUAAGUUAGCUCUCUGGAGAAGGCCUAACUGCAGUCUUCCUCAUAUUGACCCUUCUCAGCUAGAAGCAGUUAGAUGAUAAAAACUAUGCCCUUUUCCCCCUAAUUGCAGUUAGGGAUACUUCUUCAGGGGGAAUAUUACAGACAGUUAAGUUAGUACAAGGCUGGGCCCUCAACAUAAAAAACAAUUGAAGCAUAUUCAAUCGUUAGUAUUAUAAAAAGAGAAAAGGUACUCCAUCCACUUACUUCCCGAGGGAUGAAUAGCAGUGAAUGACAUUCUAAAUAUUCAUCAAUCUCCCCAGCCCAUUUCCUUUCUGGAAAUUCCUUGUUUUUUCUAUGUAUAUUUGGUAUGUGACUUGUUCUCCCAUUUGAUCCCCAUUUCAUCAAUGUUACCUGGGUGACUGUACUUGUAAUCCUAUUGCUUGAUCACCUCAUGCCCAUCUUGUUCUUUUUCAUUGGAUCUUUCAGUUUUGUCCCACUUUGUACCUGCCUCACCUCAGGGCUUUGCCUUACAAAACACCUUUGAGAAGUGGGGAGGACAGGCAACCCACUUUCCAGUCCCCCCUCUGUCUCUCUUAGACAGAAGCUAUUCUCUCAAUAAAUUUUUCCUACUCUUAAAAAAAAAGAACAAAAGAACAGACAGCUAAUAGGAAGUAGGGAGAUAGAUCUUUCAUAAAUGAUAAGGAGAUGAUGAAUUGGAG